GUGGAAAUUCCGGAGCCUUCUUUGUUAUUUUUCCCUCACCAUUUGGCUGUUUCCUCGCCCACCGCAUAAUUCUUCUACUGCUGCCAAUCCAUAAACCACAACGCGAAUCCGACCGCCUCUUCUUUCCCCUUCACUUUCACGGUUCCACCCCAACAUCAUCGAUCUGUGUUCGUGUAGGUCAUUUCAAAGGGAUUUCAAGCUGGGUUGCAAAGAUUUGAUUCAAGUUUGUGGAUUUGGGUAAGAAAUUAAGAACCCCUAAUCUUUUCUUAAGGUUUUAAAUGCCACAUGCAUCACAAUAAUCCAUUCAAAAUCACAAUUUUCCUCCGUGCUUCCUCCGUUAUUUCUUCACCAUCAACCUUGCGGCAACUUCCUUGCCGAUUCGAGCUGCUCGACCAUGACAUGAACGCCGCCUCCACACGUUUGACUCGCUGUACGUCCUUGGCUUGCCGCUCUCCUUAUCUCCCGGUGAUUCAUUCUCCUCAUUGGAUUCUAUUUGGGCUUGAAACAGAUGCUAUAAAUCAGUUUUGGUGGAGGAGUUGUUCCGCAGCCUCAGGAAAAAUAGAGGAAUGUUUUUGAAAUAAGCUAAGCAUACCAGCAAAUCAAAAGGUUUUUUGAGACGGAGGGGUGCUCUGGCUAUUCCAAUAGUUUCGGUACUGCUAGCAUGUGGUAUUAAUCAUUGUGUUGCCU